AAUAUACUCCCUCCGUUCGGAAUUACUUGUCGCAGAAAUGAAUGUAUCUAGAUGUAUUUUAGUUCUAGAUACAUCCAUUUCCAAGACAAGUAAUUCCGAACGGAGGGAGUAUAUA
rnacentral:pre_miRNA from 1 species